rnacentral:rRNA from 1 species
AGGACGAACGCUGGCGGCGUGCUUAACACAUGCAAGUCGAGCGGUAAGGCCUUUCGGGGUACACGAGCGGCGAACGGGUGAGUAACACGUGGGUGACCUGCCCUGCACUCUGGGAUAAGCCUGGGAAACUGGGUCUAAUACCGGAUAUGACCUGCUCUCGCAUGGGGGUGGGUGGAAAGAUUUAUCGGUGCAGGAUGGGCCCGCGGCCUAUCAGCUUGUUGGUGGGGUAAUGGCCUACCAAGGCGACGACGGGUAGCCGACCUGAGAGGGUGACCGGCCACACUGGGACUGAGACACGGCCCAGACUCCUACGGGAGGCAGCAGUGGGAAUAUUGCACAAUGGGCGAAAGCCUGAUGCAGCGACGCCGCGUGAGGAUGAAGGCCUUCGGGUUGUAAACCUCUUUCAGCAGGACGAAGCGCAAGUGACGGUACCUGCAGAAGAAGCACCGGCUAACUACGUGCCAGCAGCCGC